rnacentral:rRNA from 1 species
UACGGGGGGGAGCAAGCGUUGUUCGGAAUUACUGGGCGUAAAGCGUGCGCAGGCGGUUCGCUAAGACCGAUGUGAAAUCCCCGGGCUUAACCUGGGAACUGCAUUGGUGACUGGCGGGCUAGAGUAUGGCAGAGGGGGGGUAGAAUUCCACGUGUAGCAGUGAAAUGCGUAGAGAUGUGGAGGAAUACCGGUGGCGAAGGCAGCCCCCCUGGGAUAACACUGACGCUCAUGCACGAAAGCGUGGGGAGCAAACAGG